UGGGGAAUCUUCCGCAAUGGACGAAAGUCUGACGGAGCAACGCCGCGUGAGUGAAGAAGGUUUUCGGAUCGUAAAACUCUGUCUUUUGGGGCGAACGUGAGUAUGGUGAACAAUCAUAGUCAGUGACGGUACCAAAGGAGGAAGCCACGGCUAACUACGUGCCAGCAGCCGCGGUAAUACGUAGGUGGCAAGCGUUGUCCGGAAUUAUUGGGCGUAAAGAGCGCGUAGGCGGGAUAGUCAGUCUGUUGUAAAGUGCGGGGCUCAACCCCGUGAUCGCAAUGGAAACAGCUAUUCUUGAGUGCAGGAGAGGAAAGUGGAAUUCCCAGUGUAGCGGUGAAAUGCGUAGAUAUUGGGAGGAACACCAGUGGCGAAGGCGACUUUCUGGACUGUGUCUGACGCUGAGGCGCGAAAGCCAGGGGAGCGAACGGGAUUAGAUACCCCGGUAGUCCUGGCCGUAAACGAUGGGUACUAGGUGUGGGAGGUAUCGACCCCUUCCGUGCCGGAGUUAACGCAAUAAGUACCCCGCCUGGGGAGUACGGUCGCAAGACUGAAACUCAAAGGAAUUGACGGGGUCAUAGCUGUUUCCU
rnacentral:rRNA from 1 species